AUCACUGAGAAGCGGUAGGAGGCUAGAGAGUCCCAGGAAGCGGCUCUGGGGACGAGUGUCUUGGUAACGCUUUUCCGCCCUAGGAUUCGUACUUUGGUGCCGUUUCCGAGCGUUCCGGUACCGGCUCCCAAGGUUCCCGUCUUCAGUGCAGGUUGCAGGCGGGAACCGGCCUCGUCCCAGCCCUGGGCCUGGGAGAGAGAAGGAGGCCGAAGAAAACCAACUUCGGCAACCUCCGGAGACAGGACGUUUAAAAAAGGCUAACUUGGCUGGGCGCUGAGGCUCACGCCUGUAAUCCCAGCACUUUGGGAGGCCGAGGCAGGAGGAUCACUUGAGCUCAGGAACCAGCCUGGGCAACAUGGCGAGACCCCAUGUCUACAAAAAAAAAAAAAAAAAAAUUAGCCAGUCAUGGUGGUGCGCGCCUGCAGUCCCAGCUACCCCGGAGGCCGACGCGGGAGGAUCGCUGGAGCCGAAAGGUCGAGGCUGCCGUGAGCCGAGGUUGCACCACUGCACUCCAGCCUGGGCGACAGCGCAAGACCCUGUCUAAAAAUAAAUUUAAAAAAAAUUGCGAGGCCUUCAUUCUAUGCUAGUACUGUACUAGGUGCUAAUUAUUAAGUAAAACCGACUGAACUCUUGCCCUCAUGGAGCUUACAGUUCAGUGGAGAAGACAUUACCUAAAGCAGUAUGACUAAAUAUAUAAUGACAUAUUGUAAUAACUUACAUAACAGUACAAUGAGAGGGUGGGGAGGGAUUAUUUAUGCUUUAAGAAGUCGGGAAUCCUGGAACGGAAUGACAUUAGACUGAGACACGGAAGAGCCGCAGGAUCUAUUGCUGGGGAAGAGCAUUCCAGACAGGGAGGAACUCGUGCCGAAUGAUCCCGCUGUGGACAGGGAAUUUAAUCUGAGCUUCGGUUUCCUCUUCUGUCAAAUGUCAUGCAAGAGUUACUUUCAGCCGUGGUCCAGGCACUGUGAAAAAUGCAGAAGCCACACUAGGUGCCCUCUCUCAGGAUUCCCAACCACCUUUACCAAGCAGAGAUGGUAUUCAUCCCACAUUUUUAAUGCUAGAUAUGCUCCCGCCCGGUGCUUCUCUAAUAAUGUUUUUUAAAAGCCGAAGCUGGACUGUACUGCUGCCAUCUCGGCUCACUGCAACCCCCCUGCCUGAUUCUCCUGCCUCAGCCUGCCGAGCGCCUGCGAUUGCAGGCACGCACCGCCACGCCUGACUGGUUUUUGUAUUUUUUUGGUGGAGACGGGGUUUCGCUCUGUUGGCCGGGCUGGUCUCCAGCUCCUAGCCGCGAGUGAUCCGCCAGCCUCGGCCUCCCGAGGUGCCGGGAUUGCAGACGGAGUCUCGUUCACUCAGUGCUCAAUGGUGCCCAGGCUGGAGUGCAGUGGCGUGAUCUCGGCUCGCUACAACCACCUCCCAGCCGCCUGCCUUGGCCUCCCAAAGAGCCGAGAUUGCAGCCUCUGCCCGGCCACCACCCCGUCUGGGAAGUGAGGAGCGUCUCUGCUUGGCCGCCCAUCGUCUGCGAUGUGAGGAGCCCCUCUGCCUGGCUGCCCAGUCUGGAAAGUGAGGAGCAUCUCUGCCCGGCCACCAUCCCAUCUAGGAAGUGAGGAGCGCCUCUUCCCCGCCAUCCAGCCCAUCUAGGAAGUGAGGAGCGUCUCUGCCCAGCCGCCCAUCGUCUGAGAUGUGGGGAGCACCUCUGCCCCGCCGCCCCAUCUGGGAUGUGAGGAGCGCCUCUGCCCGGCCGCGACCCCGUCUGGGAGGUGAGGAGCGUCUCUGCCCGGCCGCCCCGUCUGAGAAGUGAGGAGACCCUCUGCCUGGCAACCGCCCCGUCUGAGAAGUGAGGAGCCCCUCCGUCCGGCAGCCACCCAGUCUGGGAAGUGAGGAGCGUCUCCGCCCGGCCAGCCGCCCCGUCAGGGAGGGAGGUGGGGGGUCAGCCCCCCGCCCGGCCAGCCGCCCCUUCUGGGAGGUGAGGGGCGCCUCUGCCCGGCCGCCCCUACUGGGAAGUGAGGAGCCCCUCUGGCCGGCCACCACCCCGUCUGGGAGGUGUACCCAACAGCUCAUUGAGAACGGGCCAUGAUGACAAUGGCGGUUUUGUGGAAUAGAAAGGGGGGAAAUGUGGGGAAAAGAUUGAGAAAUCGGAUGGUUGCCAUGUCUGUGUAGAAAGAAGUAGACAUGGGAGACUUUUCAUUUUGUUCUGUACUAAGAAAAAUUCUUCUGCCUUGGGAUCCUGUUGAUCUGUGACCUUACCCCCAACCCUGUGCUCCCUGAAACAUGUGCUGUGUCCACUCAGGGUUAAAUGGAUUAAGGGCGGUGCAAGAUGUGCUUUGUUAAACAGAUGCUUGAAGGCAGCAGGCUCGUUAAGGGUCAUCACCACUCCCUAAUCUCAAGUACCCAGGGACACAAACACUGGGGAAGGCCGCAGGGCCCUCUGCCUAGGAAAACCAGAGACCCUUGUUCACUUGUUUGUCUGCUGACCUUCCCUCCACUAUUGUCCUGUGACCCUGCCAAAUCCCCCUCUGCGAGAAACACCCAAGAAUGAUCAAU
rnacentral:lncRNA from 1 species